GAAAUGCGAUAAGUAAUGUGAAUUGCAGAAUUCCGUGAAUCAUCGAAUCUUUGAACGCACAUUGCGCCCCUUGGUAUUCCAUGGGGCAUGCCUGUUCGAGCGUCAUUUGUACCCUCAAGCUCUGCUUGGUGUUGGGUGUUUGUCCCGUCUCCGCGCGUGGACUCGCCCCAAAGUGAUUGGCAGCCGGCGUACUGGUCCCGGAGCGCAGCACAUGUCGCGCAAACGAGUGCCUUGGUACGGCGGCGUCCAUAAGCCCCUCUCUCACGCUCUUGACCUCGGAUCAGGUAGGGAUACCCGCUGAACUUAAGC
rnacentral:misc_RNA from 1 species